rnacentral:lncRNA from 10 species
GGAUGGUGGUCUUCUGGUCAAUCGUGGGUGUGGAACAGACUUGUGUGUCACAUCAAGCGAUGGGGGUUGGCCUAGUGUAGACUUGAGGGGCUGGCUGAGAGAUUGGUCACUCUGGGCUCUCACUAAUAAUGAUCUCAUUCAUUCCUUACGAGCUCCUCAUAUCCAGAUGAGAAACAACACUGAGACUCAGCCGGGUUACGUAAAACAUCCAAAGCUAUGCAGCAGGCUGAUGGCCAGCUGAGACCUAAAUUUAGGCCUCACUGACUCCUACCUUGGGCAUGUAAGCACCAGUUGGAUCAGAUACACCAGGGAAACUGAGGCCCAGAAAGGGAUGUGAUCUGCCCGAUUGUGCAGAAUUCAGAGCCCAGCUGGAACCUGAAUGUCCUGACCCCCCAUCCAGUGCCCCCCUUCCUACUCUAUGCUGCCUCUCGGGUGACACACACAGCAGCAAGUGAGCCCUGCAGACAGAGACAUUCUAGAACCCAGGCCUGGGACCAGUGCUCAGGAGCCAUACUCUCAGCUAGAUUGCCUUCAGCCUGCCAGGAGGAGGAGCAGCCCAGUCCAGACUGAAAGCCUCCAAGGAGGAAGUUCUACCGGCUUCUCCAUGCCUCCAAACCCACUGUACCUUGUGCAUUCCAUCUGGAAUUUUCUUCUGUUGAAAGGAAGGUGCUGGGUGGGAGGAGGAGGGAGAGGAUCAGGAAAAAUAACUAAUAAAUACUAGGCUUAAUAUCUGACACAAGUUUACGUAUAUAACAAACCUGCACAUG